AUGGUCUUGUCCGCUGCCCCAACAAUGAUGUGGACGUGCCAGAGUUGGACCGGGGUGGACAAGGUCAAAAACCACAUGACACCAGGUUCGAGUCUAACAGGUUUAUUCGAAAACACAAAGUUUCGGAGUCUCUCUCCUUCUGCAGGUACGCUUGAAAGAGGAAGCAAAAAGACACGGAAUUUUAAGUAAAAUACCGCAGAUUGAGCGGUUUCCGGCUCUCAUGGAGUUGUGGGUCGUCUGGAAGACAUGAGAGAGAAUAUCGGCAGUAUUUGGCGUCUGAAUUUGGAAACGGAUGAAGGGUCUAGGCCCGAAACGUCAGCCUCUCUGCUCCUAUGAUGCUGCUUGGCCUGCUGUGUUCAUCCAGCCCUGCACCUUGUUGUCUCGAAUGGGGAUGGAAUUGGUUGGUUAUGCUGGGAGACAGGGACAACAGCGAAAGGUUGAUUUGUCAUUGAAGGAUUCAGAUGAAACCACAUCCAGCUUUGACAGUCAUUCUGUUUAUCGGAACCUGUUUAUCAAAGGAUUUUGAAGAGGAAACAGCAGCAUUCACACUGGACAGAAACAUGCCUAUACUGUAUGUGUAAAAGUCUGUAAGCAUUUAUCUAAAAUGUCAAAACACCAGCGCAAUUGCACUAGGGAGAGACUGUGGAAAAAUGUGGACUGCCUGAAGGGAACUCUUUCCCCAUUCCAACUGGAAAUUCACCAAAGCAGUAACAAUAGGAAGAAGCUGUUCACCUGUUCUGAAUGUGGAAAGGGAUUCACUCGGUCAUCCCACUUGCUGAGACACCAGCGAGUUCACACUGAAGAGAGACCGUUCACUUGCAUCAUGUGUGGGAAUGGAUUCACAGAGUCAUAGGAACUGCUAACACACCAGCGAAUUCACACUUGGGAGAAACCAUUCACAUGCUCCGAGUGUGGGAAGGGAUUCACUUGUCAUCCAACAUGUUAACACACCAGGGAGUUCACAGUGGGGAGAAGCCAUUCAUUUGCUCUUUGUGUGGGAAGGGAUUCACUCGGUCAUCCCACUUGCUGGUUCACCAGUGAGGUCACACUGGGGAGAGACCGUUCACUUGCUCUGUGUGUGGGAAGGGAUUCACAUGGUUAUAUGAACCGUAGACACACCAGCGAGUUCACACUGGGGAGAAACCAUUCACGUGCUCCGAGUUUGGGAAGGAAUUCAUUCAGUCGUUCCGCUUGCUGAGACAACAGUGAACUCACACAGUGUAGAAACCAUUCACUUGCUCUCUGUGUGGGAAGGGAUUCAUUCAGGCAUCCAUCCGAUGAAUACAGCAGCAAGUUCGCACUGGAGAGAGACCCUUCAACUGUUAUGUAUGUGGGAAGGCAUUCACACAUUCACCCAACCUGCAGGUACACUAGCGACUUCACACUGGAAAGAAAUCAUUCACUUGCUCUGUGUGUGGGAAGGGAUUCAGUCAGUCAUCCAACCUGCUGAGACACCAGUGAAUUCACCAAUAAAUACAGUUGAAGGAUUUUGUUUCUCUUAUUCACAUCAUGGAACGAGCAAUGGUCUUGGGCAGUUGAAAUGUUAAUAAAAUUGUCUAUCUGGA